ACUUGUGCUCUUCUGAUCUGGAAAGUCCACUCUCCCAUUCAUGGAUACAGUGUUGGAGUCCCCAGAGCGUUGGGAAUCUCCCCAGGACUUCAGCAGCUCGAUCACCUGAGACCUGGCUCUGGAAGCCAUGAGGAAGCAGCCUGGUGGCCAGCCUGGCAAAGCCAACACCAGGCCCCAGUCCUGAGGGGCCCCUGUCAGGCUUCAGGAGGCUCUAGGCUCAUCAGAGCCCCUCCCUUCCCUCUUUUCCCUCCCCUCCCCUCCUAGACUAGCUGGGCUGUGGCAGAAGUACUUGGGUUCUUUUACAUCAAAAUAACAAAACACCAAAAAGGAAGUUGAGAGAAUGCCAUUUUUUACUACCCAAGCCACAGGCAAGCCUUCCCAACACCCUGUAACCAUGUGCCUUGCACCAAGUGGAAAAUAAACCAAGCAGCCAGUAGCCCUG